AAUGUAAAUGACGAGUUAAUGGGUGCAGCAAACAAACAUGGGACAUGUAUACCUAUGUAACAAACCUGCACAUUGUGCACAUGUACCCUAGAAAUUAAAGUAUAAUAAUAAUAGUAAUAAAUCUCACCUUUCUGCCAGAAUAUGCAGAAGAAACAGUGUCUCUGAAACUUUGAUUUGCAUGGACAUCAACAGAGGGUGUAGCUAGAGCCCAAGUGUGUGACAGUCAGAUGAAAGUGGCCCUUACCUGGCAAAGCCAAGUGGCUUAGUGUGGGGCAGGUUCAUUCAAGAACUUUCUCUACUUCUCUCCCCAGAUCCUCCUCAGGAUCAAGGUCAGUGCUGUCCCAGAACGUUUAAAGGCAGGGAGAAGAAUUACCUUAUAGGGCGCUAACAUGUUUUCCCAAAAUCUCCAACUUUUUUUUCUUGUUUAGCCAUUGUACAAAAUUGGGGAAAUGUACAACUUCUGGGUAGAUUCUGCAUAGUGGAGAAAAGGCUUGAGAGGCACAAAGGCUAGGCUUUACAAUCGCUACCCCUCACUCCAUCAUCCUUAUCUAUGCAUUUCCCUGGUAACCCCAUCCACAGCCUGAUACCUUCCCCACUGUCAUUUCUGCUGCAUUACAGACACAGACUUGCAAAUAGCUAUGAUUGUGACUGAGUUUCUUCAUGACACCUGACCCUUUCUCAUGCUGCAAGGAAAGCUUGCUGGGAGGAGCCUGGAAUCUGGAAUGAAGCCAGAGGGCAAGGCUUAAAGGGGGAUCAUUUAAGUGCUGCAACUCAAGAGAUUCACUCAGAAGACUGGACACAAUUCCAAAGGUCGCCCAGAGGGAGAGAACAAUGUCAUUUCUAACUGGAAACUGAGGAAGUCAAGUAACCGAUCUAAGAUUGCACGGCUAGUAAAAGGCAGAAUGAGGACCGGAAUCCAGGCAUCUUGGCUCCUGAACCCUUGCUCUUACCUAUGGGUCCACCAUAUCUUCAGGAACACGGGGUCUGAUGUGGUAGGGUGAAAGGGGAGAGUCCACAGAGUCUUCCCUGUGAUCUCUAACCUCCUGCACUAUGGGAAUAUGUUACAGGAGGGGAGACUGCGCCUGACCCUGCACCUCUCACUUACUCUCAAUACUCUGGCAGGUGCCAUACAAACUGCCUGUGUCUUUGUCUGUUGGUUCCUGCGUGAUAAUCAAAGGGACACCGAUCGACUCUUCUGUCAAUGAACCACAGCUGCAGGUGGAUUUCUACACUGAGAUGAAUGAGGAGUCAGAAAUUGCCUUCCAUUUGCGAGUGCACUUAGGCCGUCGUGUGGUCAUGAACAGUCGUGAGUUUGGGAUAUGGAUGUUGGAGGAGAAUUUACACUAUGUGCCCUUUGAGGAUGGCAAACCAUUUGACCUGCGCAUCUAUGUGUGUCGCAAUGAGUAUGAGGUAAAGGUAAAUGGUGAAUACAUUUACGCCUUUGUCCAUCGAAUCCCACCAUCAUAUGUGAAGAUGAUUCAAGUAUGCAGAGAUGUCUCCCUGGACUCAGUGCUUGUCAGCAAUGGAUGGAGAUGAUUACACUCUUCAUUGUUGAGGAAACCCUCUUUCUACCUGACCAUGGGAUUCCUGGAGCCUGCAAACAGAAUUAUCCCUCCUCAACCCUUUCCCCUACACUUGGUCAUUAAAACAGCACGAA